rnacentral:rRNA from 1 species
GAUGAACGCUAGCGAUAGGCUUAACACAUGCAAGUCGAGGGGCAGCACAAGGUAGCUUGCUAUCUGGGUGGCGACCGGCGCACGGGUGCGUAACGCGUAUGCAACUUGCCCUAUACAGGAGGAUAACCCGUCGAAAGACGGACUAAUACUGCGUAUGCUCACAACUUGGCAUCCAGUGGUGAGGAAAGAAAUUCGGUAUAGGAUAGGCAUGCGUCCCAUUAGCUUGUUGGUGAGGUAACGGCUCACCAAGGCAACGAUGGGUAGGGGAACUGAGAGGUUUAUCCCCCACACUGGUACUGAGACACGGACCAGACUCCUACGGGAGGCAGCAGUGAGGAAUAUUGGUCAAUGGGCGCGAGCCUGAACCAGCCAAGUCGCGUGAAGGAUGACUGUCCUAUGGAUUGUAAACUUCUUUUAUACGGGAAUAACAAGAGUCACGUGUGACUCCCUGCAUGUACCGUAUGAAUAAGCAUCGGCUAACUCCGUG